AUUGAACGCUGGCGGCAUGCCUUACACAUGCAAGUCGAACGGCAGCACGGGAGCUUGCUCCUGGUGGCGAGUGGCGAACGGGUGAGUAAUGCAUCGGAACGUGCCCUGAAGUGGGGGAUAACGUAGCGAAAGUUACGCUGAUACCGCAUAUUCUGUGAGCAGGAAAGCAGGGGAUCUUCGGACCUUGCGCUUUUGGAGCGGCCGAUGUCGGAUUAGCUAGUUGGUGGGGUAAAGGCCCACCAAGGCGACGAUCCGUAGCGGGUCUGAGAGGAUGAUCCGCCACACUGGAACUGAGACACGGUCCAGACUCCUACGGGAGGCAGCAGUGGGGAAUUUUGGACAAUGGGCGCAAGCCUGAUCCAGCCAUGCCGCGUGAGUGAAGAAGGCCUCGGUUGUAAG
rnacentral:rRNA from 1 species